UAGCGAAGGGGGCUAGCGUUGCUCGGAAUCACUGGGCGUAAAGCGCACGUAGGCGGCUUACUAAGUCAGGGGUGAAAUCCUGGAGCUCAACUCCAGAACUGCCUUUGAUACUGGUGAGCUUGGAGUCCGGGAGAGGUGAGUGGAACUGCGAGUGUAGAGGUGAAAUUCGUAGAUAUUCGCAAGAACACCAGCGGCGAAGGCGGCAUCCUGGACUGGUACUGACGCUCAUGAGCGAAAGCGUGGGGAGCGAGUCCGG
rnacentral:rRNA from 1 species